rnacentral:rRNA from 1 species
UUUGAAGUUUGAUCCUGGCUCCAGGACGACCGCGGGCGCCAUGCCUAAUACAUGCAAGUCGAACGCUGAAGCACUCUGCUUGCAGAGUGCGGAUGAGUGGCGAACGGGUGAGUAACACGUGGGAAUUCUGCCUAGGAGUGGGGGAUAACAUUCGGAAACGGAUGCUAAUACCGCAUAUCUUUUUGAACCGCAUGGUUCUUAAACGAAAGACGGCUUCGGCUGUCGCUCUUAGAUGAUCCCGCGGCGUAUUAGUUAGUUGGUGGGGUAAAGGCCUACCAAGACCAUGAUACGUAGCCGACCUGAGAGGGUGAUCGGCCACACUGGGACUGAGACACGGCCCAGACUCCUACGGGAGGCAGCAGUAGGGAAUCUUCCACAAUGGGUGAAAACCUGAUGGAGCAAUGCCGCGUGAAUGAAGAAGGUCUUCGGAUCGUAAAGUUCUGUUAUUAGAGGAGAACAAGUCAAGGAGUAACUGUCUUGACUUUGACGGUACCUAACCAGAAAGUCACGGCUAACUACGUGCCAGCAGCCGCGGUAAUACGUAGGUGACAAGCGUUGUCCGGAAUUAUUGGGCGUAAAGGGAGCGCAGGCGGUUGGAAUAGUCUGAUGUGAAAGCCCACGGCUUAACCGUGGAAGGUCAUUGGAAACUGUCCAACUUGAAUACAGAAGAGGUAAGUGGAAUUCCAAGUGUAGCGGUGAAAUGCGUAGAUAUUUGGAGGAACACCAGUGGCGAAGGCGACUUACUGGUCUGUAAUUGACGCUGAGGCUCGAAAGCGUGGGUAGCGAACAGGAUUAGAUACCCUGGUAGUCCACGCCGUAAACGAUGAGUGCUAAGUGUUGGAGGGUUUCCGCCCUUCAGUGCUGGAGUUAACGCAUUAAG